UAAUGACUUAAAAUUUAUUAUCAAAAUAAUUUUUUUCACGAAGAAGAAACGUUGCUAUGUAGUAAUUGCUGAGUAACCCAGCUCCUACUACUCUUAGAACAUCUUACAUUGCUUCAGAAUUCAACCACCCAUUGUGGAAAACGGAUUCAUUCGCUGCUGACACUGACUUGUGAAUUUUGUAGGUGCUGUGGAUUCGCUGCGUCCAGCAGGAGUCUGCAGCAUUUGCUGAAAAAACUGCUUCUGUGGUGCCUGGUCAGGGAUUUCUGCAGUCAGCAAUUGCGUAGCUAGAUAUGUCACUCCGUAGACCCUUCGGUGCUCCUCAACGCAUCUCAACCCUCCAAGGCCAGAGGCCCUUACAUGGUGCAACAGAAGCUGUCCUGUAAGAACUUGUUCGCUUCACCUCAGGGCUGGAGGUGCCCAAUGGUUAUUGUGGAGGCCAGGAAUUAGGUAAUAUUAUCUAGCUUUUACCUGGGGAAACUGAACAUCUUCAACUGAGGAGACAUUGCUUCUUACUAAGGAAACAGAUGGAUUGCCAGCAAACAUCCCCCUAAUUGUACUCCAUAUUGAUCACUGAAUGUCAGUCUACAUGUACAACAGGGUGAAGUGUGUCCCUGGGAUGCUUUGAAGAUUGUUCAAGACUCUGCUUCGAUGUGUCAUUAUUUUAUGUAUCAUUGCUGGACUCAAGGCAGGUGUUAGCAGUUGUUAUAUUAUAUCCAGAUUAUAAAGCUGAAUCUAAACUCUACAUUUCUAUGUAUUGGUGUUUGGGAACUGGCCAUGAUUAAGAGCCUUAAAAAGUCAGGAUUUUGAAAUGUGCUUUGAAAUCGAUUUCUCAGCCUCUGGACCAUUAUCUCAAUGUUAACUAUGAUUUGCCACCACAUCUGGCUUUGUAUACUGGAAGUACACAAAAUCUCUCCAAAGGCACAUAAUCCACAAAGAUUCCUCUUGUUAGGACCAGGUUUGAAGCUGCUACAAAGAGGUGAUGGGAUAUGAAACACCAUGACUUCCUAGGGUCUACGUUUGCUGUGGUAACUGAUCCUGACGCCUGUUUUCUAUUUUGGUAAGGAGACUUUACGUGACUCUCUUGUGGAUCAUGCUCAUUCAAGAUUUGGAAAAUCAGCAGCACAAUUUUAUCAACAUGGUAUCUUUCUGUUGCUCUGUUGGAUUUGGCAGUCCAGGCACCAUGAACUCCCUUUUCUCCUUUAUAGCCUUCACAACAUUUUUUGAUGUUGGGCUCUACAGAGUGGCAUCUACAGGGCAUAUGUGUCAGUAACGCAGGGAAACCAGGAGAUGGCAGGCAAGUGAGGAGAACCCAGAAGUAUACAGUGGUUGUUCAAUGCAGGGAAAACCUGGUGAGGGCAUGCCCUUCAGUGUUGAAGGUGCACAAUGGCAGCUCUGGUGGGAGCCAUGGGGAUUGGUAUGUUCUCCAGUACAGACUGCUUCCAGGCUCUCUGUGGCCAUAGCCACAAUUCCAAUUAAUGGGUAAGUCUCCCUGACUAAAUCAAAGUCUGUUUGAGUUAUGUACUGUCACAGGCAAUCACUGUGUCUAGAGGAAAUUAAAUAAAUGUUUUGGAAUCUAUCAUUAACAAA